CAAAAUGGCUUCCCCUUGUGCAUCAUCAUUGUAAUUGUUCACACGUCUUCUCUUCGACUUCAUUAGAAGAUAAACAAACUAUGAUGUUCCAGUGAAGUCAAAAUUCUUGCCGCAAAACCCUACUCUUGCUCAUAAAUCUUCAGAGAAACAUAAAUCAAAUUCCUCAUGAGACAUCACAACAGAAUUCAAACAUAAGAAAACAAUCAAAUUGAUGCAAAGUUACAUAAAUACUAAAUACCCAAUGCAAUCUAUAUGAAUCUACAUCAGCAACAGAUGAAAUAAUUGCGAUUCACCUUUGAUGUAGUGAAUUCCCAUCCAUUUACUUCAAAUCAAUUUCAUUAACAAUCUCAAUCAAAACAACAACAACAACACAAGUUUUCUUCUUCAAUUCACACAAAUUUCUCACAACAACAAAAGUAAAGAUCAGACUUUAAUUCAACAAAGUAAAGACAGCUCACUUUUUCAACAAUUUUUUACUGUAGAGAAAAAAUUCACAUAACAGUGUAUCGUCAUCCAGAUUUAGAGACUUCCACAAUGAAAGAAGCUAUCUUUAAACCAAGCCAUCAUCAUAAAAGUAAAAUAAUCAAAACCCAAUUGAAUCAAACAAACACAGCGAAUGUUGUAACACUAUCUAUAGAUUCAUAAAAAAAGAAGCAAACUUUUGACCAACCAAACAACAUACAAGUAGAAAUAUCAAAACCCAAUUGAACUAAACAAACAUCAUGGCGAUUUACAUGUUGAGACAAUGAAAAAGCAAAAAUUUGACCAAACCACGAACAGAACACGGAAAUAAUGAAAACCAGUUGAACUAAACAAAGAUUGAACAAACACAGGAAGUGUAAUACAGUAACCAAUUCAGAUCAUGACCCAGAAUUCAUUAACAGAAAGAAGAAGAAAAAAGGCGUAAAUACAUGUAUACGUGUAUAGGUAUCGUACCUGGGUUGGUGUUGAUGCUCUCAGAGAGAGAGAGAGAGAGAGAGAGGAGUUAGGGGGGCUCGGGGGGUUUUGGCAAUUAUUAUGUGAAGAAAACUUUAAGAUGUUGAAGUCUUUGAUGAUUAAAAAAAACAAAUCAAUUUAAAAUUGUAAUCUGAAUUCGAC
rnacentral:lncRNA from 1 species